rnacentral:rRNA from 1 species
UACGAAGGGGGCUAGCGUUGCUCGGAAUCACUGGGCGUAAAGGGUGCGUAGGCGGGUCUUUAAGUCAGGGGUGAAAUCCUGGAGCUCAACUCCAGAACUGCCUUUGAUACUGAGGAUCUUGAGUACGGGAGAGGUGAGUGGAACUGCGAGUGUAGAGGUGAAAUUCGUAGAUAUUCGCAAGAACACCAGUGGCGAAGGCGGCUUACUGGACCGGUUCUGACGCUGAGGCGCGAAAGCGUGGGGAGCAAACAGG